CCACAUGAUCACAUGACCAGAGGACAAGCAUGUGUAGAUGUGACAGGUUGAAGGACUACUGUUGAAGGACUACUGCAUAUAAAACUGUUCACUUAAUACUAAUUCAUAUCAGUUGAUAUAAGGACAAAAAUAAUGUAAAUAUGGUAAGAAAAUGGUUAAGAGUUUAUUAUUUUUCAUGUUAUAUUAAUGGCUUUCAUGUUACUUAAGAGAACUGCAAUCUAUACAUCAGUGAUCGGCUAGUAAGCCUUUUCUGGGAUCGAUUAGUAGUGUCUCUAUUCUCCACUAGGGGGCUUUCGCGCGUUCUCCUCACUGCAAUAAACGCUGCAUGAGAGAUGCAAGUCAAAAUCACUCUCGUGAUUCUUUUCCCCCUGUUUUCAGGUAAAAGUGUUUAAAAGUUGAUAUAUUUCCGAUGUGUACACUGUUAAGAUAUUUAAGAGGUAAUCCUUCGUUGUUUUGUAAGCUUUAGAAGCAUUAUAUUACAGUUUUGUGCACAUAUACGUGGCGGCUUUGAGCCUCGGUUUUGUACUGUGUAAUGGCCAGUAAGAUAACGGCAGGAGCUAAAAACGCCGCUAUUGUCAGCCAUUUUAUUAGGAAACCUGCUCAAGUAUAUGUAUAGUAAGCACUUUAGUAUUUUGGUUUAUUUUUUUAGUGUUUCUCUUCCACCAUGUGACAUUAAGCAGUACAGAAUGUCAAACGUUUCUGUUCAUUUGCACUGCAAUAAACGCUGCAUGAGAGACGCAAGUCAAAA